GGUGGGGUUCCCGAGCGGCCAAAGGGAGCAGACUGUAAAUCUGCCGUCAUCGACUUCGAAGGUUCGAAUCCUUCCCCCGUGG
rnacentral:tRNA from 1 species